AAUCAUCAGCAGCUGUGAGAAGCUCUGCUCUGUGUCAGGAGACCUGUGUGCACUCGAGGAACUACAUAUUUUUAACUGCAAUAAGUUACAGUCAGUCAAUUCAUUGGGAGACCACCCAUCAUUAGAAACACUGUUUCUUUCUGGCUGCCGAUGCCUUGCAUCUUUAGGAUGUGAUGGUGGUCGUGGGAGUUACUCUGCUCUUCAGAGCCGUAAGAUCGAAUACUGCCCAGCCAUAGACAUGAAGCAGUUUUACUAACGCCAUCAAACAGCUGCUUGACAGCUUUGUAUAGGAAGACGUAUCACACGUUCAUUCAAGCAGCUCUGAUGAAGUCUUGGAUGCAGUUGACGUGCAUAGAGAAAUUCUAGAAAUAUGUGAUAUCCCUUGGUGUUGAGAUCAGCUGAUGCGGAAUCACUGAAACGAGAUCCUGAUCGGUCUCAGUUUUGGAGAGCAAUUUCUGGUGAAUGGAAGCAGUCCCAAGGCUUGAAGAACUCAUGGAGUCGUACCGUACCAUUCUCCGCUGCCAGGGCCUAAACUAGACAUCAACCAUUUGUUCUUAAAUUAAAGCAUAAAGGAGGGCACUCACUUGUACACAUAUUCUUAAGUACUGGAACGACUGCCAUCUGUAUACUCAGCUUCAUUGCAAGUCUCUGCUAACGAUGACAGGCCUGCAGUGGAUGACAAAAACGACUAAGUUUGUUUUCACGGCACUACUAGCUGCUGGAGAGCUGCCCCACUAUAUUAAAAAGAAGGGACGCUCGAAGGGCCAGAGAAGUGUACA